rnacentral:tRNA from 1 species
UGAUCUAGCUUGGUACCGUCCAGCUUCCCAAGCUGCAUACGAGGGUUCGAUUCCCUUCGCCCGCUCCA